UACAUGAUUUAAGGAUUAGAUCAAAAAAAAAUAAUCUAUUAUUUUACAUAUAAAUCCAAUUUCAUAUUAUUAUUUAAAAUAAAAAUCCAAAAAUAACUUUAAUGUAAUACAUUUUAACUUAGUAAUAAUCUGCACCUUGACCUGAUCUUCUUAAAAAAAAUUAAAUUAGAAAUAAAACUUUUUAAUUUAUUCUUGACGGAGAUAUACAAAAUGAAUUUACUAUACUAAGUAAGAUAAUUGUGGAUUAUCAAUUAUAAAACAUAUUCCUCUAAAUAGAAAUAAAUCACCGCCAAAUCUUUUAAGUUUCCAGAACAAAUCUUUUACUACCUAAAACAAAAUUUAAAUUUUUAA
rnacentral:rRNA from 1 species